rnacentral:lncRNA from 1 species
AAAGAGUAAAGGCGUCAGAGUGCCCUGGGCAGUGUUGAGCCAGGGUGACUAGGAGGUAAUUAAGAAACCUCGUUGGGAAAGAUACAGGCAGUCAGGGAAGAAAUGAAUUUCCUCAUAGAUAACAUGUCCUCCCUCCUUGGGGACUCAUAAAAUAGGGUUUCUAGUAUAUCGAAGUUUUUUCCUAAUAAGAAAUCGAAUAGUGCACCGGGUGAUCUCUGUCAUUCAGCACUGGUUCUGUGAAUGCGUGAAUAAGGGUUUGUAAAAAUCAGUCCUGCAUGAGAGAAUAUGCCUUAGUAGGAAGUUAAAGGAGUGCCUUAAAUUCAUUAAAAGUCUGAGAGCUGUAAGUUUAACCCUGAAGGCAGAAAUACUGUUGAGAUUCAGGUGUUAGAGUCAAACCAUCAAAGUUCCAUUCCCAUUCAUUUGGGGGUGUUAUUGAUAAAGCACACUGAGAUGGUGUAAGGAGAACGUGUGGAUAAUCUGCCCAUAAUAGGUGUAGAAUACCUGUCCUCAUAUCUCUGCUGGGCUCAGCAACUCUU